rnacentral:rRNA from 1 species
UACGGGGGGGGCAAGCGUUGUUCGGAAUUACUGGGCGUAAAGGGCUCGUAGGUGGCCAACUAAGUCAGACGUGAAAUCCCUCGGCUUAACCGGGGAACUGCGUCUGAUACUGGAUGGCUUGAGUUCGGGAGAGGGAUGCGGAAUUCCAGGUGUAGCGGUGAAAUGCGUAGAGAUCGGGAAGAACACCGGUGGCGAAAGCGCUCUACUGGACCGUAACUGACACUCAGGGACGAAAGCUAGGGGAGCGAAUGGG